CAUUCUGCCAAAACAAUGGAAUUUACACCUAACAUUUGGAAGUGCUUCUACCCACAAAUUACUCUAGAGAAGGAACCCAGCAGAGUGGACAAAGGCCCCUCCUUGGAAUCUGGAAAAACAUGAUCUUCUCUCUGAUACCUCCUGGCUACAUGGCUGUGGUCAAAUUACUUAACCUCUCACUGCUGCAGGGGAAAAGACACUUGAAGAUCAAGGGGAAAAAACUGACCAAGGAUUGAAGACUGAACAUAUUCUCCUGGAGGGUUGUACUGAUCUCAGAAAAUACAAAUGGCUCUCUUCAUCACAAGUCUAUUGAAACUUGCCUGAAUCACCUCACUGUUGAGAAGAGCCACAUCCAUCAGAACUGAUCAUCACAUAAUCUUCUUGUUGCCAUGUACAAUGAUCUCCAAUUUUCACUCUACUUGGUAUCAAUUCAUUGUGCUGGUGUUCCCAAGCAACUGCUUAGACAACCAGGCUAUUUCAGGAAGAUGUAAGUACAGCAUGGCCAGAGGACCUGUGGAGUGAGGAAGCCAGAAAGAACAUGAUGAGUCAGCAGAGGAAGGGGGCUCAGGAACUGAUGACUCCUACAAGAUGGACCUACACCUGACUGAGGGAGCAGUUUAUGCAAAGUUGCCUAAAUGUCAACAGGAAGAAAAAGUGUAUUCCUUUCUACUUAAGGAGGGCCGUGCAGUCAAUGGCUGGAGGACAAAAUUCUCAGUAAAGUACCCUGGGAAAUGGAGAGAGGAAGCUAGAGUCAAAGUAUUACAGGAUUCUUCUCUUCCUCUUCUGUAAAGAGGGUAAAUUCCACCACUCCAUCCUUAUUUGAGCCCUCUAUAUGGUAUCUGAAUGACUGCAAAGUCCUCUCUCUCUGGUUUAAAUAGAUAAAUAGGAAUGUUAGCACCCAGGGCAAAUUCAGUUGGAGGUUCUAUAAGUUCCAUUACCAAACUCUCUAGAUUUUCUCCAGUGUGCCACAGCAGCCUAUAGUCUGUACUCUGAGUCUAUUACUUCUCUAACU
rnacentral:lncRNA from 1 species